rnacentral:rRNA from 1 species
ACGAACGCUGGCGGCGUGCUUAACACAUGCCAGUCGAACGGAAAGGCCCUGCUUGCCGGGUGCUCGAGUGGCGAACGGGUGAGUAACACGUGGGUGAUCUGCCCCUUACUUUGGGAUAAGCCUGGGAAACUGGGUCUAAUACUGGAUAGGACCAUGCUGUAGGUGGUGUGGUGGAAAGAUUAGUUUCGGUAAGGGAUGAGCUCGCGGCCUAUCAGCUUGUUGGUGGGGUAAUGGCCUACCAAGGCGUCGACGGGUAGCCGGCCUGAGAGGGUGGACGGCCACAUUGGGACUGAGAUACGGCCCAGACUCCUACGGGAGGCAGCAGUGGGGAAUAUUGCACAAUGGGCGCAAGCCUGAUGCAGCGACGCCGCGUGGGGGAUGACGGCCUUCGGGUUGUAAACUCCUUUCAGCCAUGACGAAGCCCUUGUGGUGACGGUAGUGGUAGAAGAAGCACCGGCUAACUACGUG